rnacentral:rRNA from 1 species
CCUACGGGUGGCUGCAGUGGGGGAUAUUGCACAAUGGGGGAAACCCUGAUGCAGCGACGCCGCGUGGGUGAAGAAGCGCCUCGGCGCGUAAAGCCCUGUCAGCAGGGAAGAAAAUGACGGUACCUGAAGAAGAAGCCCCGGCUAACUACGUGCCAGCAGCCGCGGUAAUACGUAGGGGGCAAGCGUUAUCCGGAAUUACUGGGUGUAAAGGGAGCGGAGACGGCGGAGCAAGCCAGGAGUGAAAGCCAGGGGCCCAACCCCGGGACUGCUCUUGGAACUGUGUGGCUGGAGUGCAGGAGGGGCAAGCGGAAUUCCUGGUGUAGCGGUGAAAUGCGUAGAUAUCAGGAGGAACACCAGUGGCGAAGGCGGCCUACUGGACUGCAACUGACGUUGAGGCCCGAAAGCGUGGGGAGCAAACAGGAUUAGAUACCCGAGUAGUC